AAAAGUCUAUCUUGGCAAAGUCCUUUUUUAGUGGAGGCCUGGGAAGAAAAGUACCACAUUACAUGAAUUUGUCCAUAAAGGAAGCACAAGCUAAUAAUAAAAAUAUGCUAUAUAAUACAGAGUUAUGCAAAUUUUAACAGGUUUCUGGCUUUACAUCUACUGGUUACUGAAUGGUACAAUUUCUCCUAUCCAGCACUUAUGUCCAUACAAAUCGUACUUGCUCAGCAGCUUUUGAUCUUUAAGGAUCCACUUUGAGACAUUGGAAUACUUUCCAUUCCCAAUCUCCAUACAACACUGUGUAUUAGAUGUGUCGGAUAUGCAAUAGAUAAAUGAAGUCCCUCACUAUAUUCCAUGAUCUACAAAUGGAUGAAUUACAUGCUACCAUUUGCAGUUGUAGA